UUUCAAAAAAAGUAAAGAGCCACAAACAC
rnacentral:piRNA from 1 species